GGCGCUUUGGCGAUGUGGUCAGCGUGUUUAACUCUUACUGGGGAGUCUGGGGUUCGAUUCCCCGCCCGGCUA